ensembl:lncRNA
UCCGGAUGGACCCUUUAAAUAGAACCUGGUCUUGCGUGUUGUACCGUGAUGCUCAAACAGAUUAGUACACCAUCACCAGGGUGCUGCUCACAUUGUACUAGACGCUGAUAAAGAUGCAAGCAGCUGGGUGGACUUUGGUUUUCUGUCUGUGCUUCAACUGUGCGUUUUCAAUUGAAUCCUGUGAGCAUUUAGGAGGAAUCGUUGAAGAGUACAGACUAGGGGCUCUAGUUGGGUCAUCUUUGCUUCUACCAUGCAACAUUCAAAAAAGCGGCCUCAAAACAGUGACAUGGAACUACAAUGGCUCAGGGCAAUUGCUCAAUCUGUCAUCUGAAGGGCACGUUACAUUCCUGGACCCCAGAAAUGGCCGAGUGAAAGCCUUUCCAAACCAGGGCUCAGAGGGGAACUACUCUAUCAGAAUUGAUGCUCUUGAAAAGGCUGACGUAGGAUUUUAUCACUGUAUACAGGGGGGGAAAUGUGUUCAAGUGGUGCUGUAUGAGAUAGGUACACAAAGAAUCCCGUGGCUGGUGAAUUACAUCUGCGCUGGUGUGACUGCUCUAUUUGUGGUGGGUGUUGGUGGCUACUUCAGCUACCAAAAAUGCAAAGGGGAAGACAGGUUGCAAAGCCAUUUUUAAAGCUUCAGGAUUCCAGAGAACCACAGUGAAAGCCAUUAUCCACACACGGAGAAAACUUGGAAAAGUGGUGAACCUUCCCAGGAGUGACCGCCUAACAAGAAGACUCCAUGAUCGCAUUGACCUCAUCUAGGAGGUGAAAAAGAAAACAGAACAUCAUCUCAUGAACUGCAGGCCUCACUUGUCUCAGUUAAUGUCAGAGGUCAUGAUUCAACAAUAAGAGAUAUUGCUCCUUAUCACAACUGUUUGCUUUGAGAGUUUUGCUGCUGCCGCACAACCAGUUAUUAGGUUUAGGGAGCAAUUACUUUUUUCACACAGGGCCAGUUAGGCUUGGAUCAUUUUUAUUCCUUUAAUAAAUGAAAUCAUCAUUUAAAGACUGCAUUUUAUACUUACUCGGGUUACCUUUGUGUGAUAUUGAAGUGUUUGUUGAUCUGAAACAGUCUGACAAACAUGCAAAAAGAAAAAGAAAUCAAGAAGAGGGAAAACCACUUCUUCACAGCAAUGUAUGCAUAUAUGCUGAUUUUUUUUUUUUUUUUUUUGACACUUCCCUUUCACAACCCACUGUGGCUUAUGGUUCUAAUUUAAACUCUCUACUCUGAAACCUGAAAUUUAUGCAGUGUGUGCAUCCACGUGUAAAUUGCAUUGGCUUCUAAAAGAGAAGGUUUGCUUAUCUGUUGUUUACUAAAAUAUAGCAAGUGACAUCAACCACCAAAUAAAACUAAC